rnacentral:rRNA from 1 species
AUUGAACGCUGGCAGCAGGCUUAACACAUGCAAGUCGAGCGGGGGAGGUUACUUCGGUAACUGACCUAGCGGCGGACGGGUGAGUAAUGCUUAGGAAUCUGCCUAUUAGUGGGGGACAACAUUCCGAAAGGAAUGCUAAUACCGCAUACGUCCUACGGGGGAAAGCAGGGGAUCUUCGGACCUUGCGCUAAUAGAUGAGCCUAAGUCGGAUUAGCUAGUUGGUGGGGUAAAGGCCUACCAAGGCGACGAUCUGUAGCGGGUCUGAGAGGAUGAUCCGCCACACUGGGACUGAGACACGGCCCAGACUCCUACGGGAGGCAGCAGUGGGGAAUAUUGGACAAUGGGGGGAACCCUGAUCCAGCCAUGCCGCGUGUGUGAAGAAGGCCUUUUGGUUGUAAAGCACUUUAAGCGAGGAGGAGGCUCCUUUAGUUAAUACCUAAAGAGAGUGGACGUUACUCGCAGAAUAAGCACCGGCUAACUCUGUGCCAGCAGCCGCGGUAA